GGGUCAGUAGGUUGGUCGUGCCACCGGUACGGACUGGGCUCACUGAUUCCUCCUUCCUGAAGAACCGUAAUGCCAUUAAUUUGGUGUUGCGGGGAAACAGGACUGUUACUUUGAAAAAAUUAGAGUGUUUAAAGCAAGCUAACGCUUAAAUACAUUAGCAUGGAAUAAUGAAAUAGGACGAUCGAUCCUAUUUUGUUGGUUUCUAGGAUUGACGUA
rnacentral:rRNA from 1 species